rnacentral:tRNA from 2 species
UGGCUACGUAGCUCAGUUGGUUAGAGCACAUCACUCAUAAUGAUGGGGUCACAGGUUCGAAUCCUCGUACCCCA